AUUGAACGCUGGCGGCAUGCCUUACACAUGCAAGUCGAACGGCAGCACGGGUGCUUGCACCUGGUGGCGAGUGGCGAACGGGUGAGUAAUACAUCGGAACAUGUCCUGUAGUGGGGGAUAGCCCGGCGAAAGCCGGAUUAAUACCGCAUACGAUCUACGGAUGAAAGCGGGGGACCUUCGGGCCUCGCGCUAUAGGGUUGGCCGAUGGCUGAUUAGCUAGUUGGUGGGGUAAAGGCCUACCAAGGCGACGAUCAGUAGCUGGUCUGAGAGGACGACCAGCCACACUGGGACUGAGACACGGCCCAGACUCCUACGGGAGGCAGCAGUGGGGAAUUUUGGACAAUGGGCGAAAGCCUGAUCCAGCAAUGCCGCGUGUGUGAAGAAGGCCUUCGGGUUGUAAAGCACUUUUGUCCGGAAAGAAAUCCUUGGCUCUAAUACAGUCGGGGGAUGCCGGUACCGGAAGAAUAAGCACCGGCUAACUACGUG
rnacentral:rRNA from 1 species